CGGGCCGUAGUACACCGGUAGUAUACGCGCUUUGGGAGCGCGAGAACUGGGUUCGAUUCCCGGCGGCCCGACCA
rnacentral:tRNA from 1 species